rnacentral:rRNA from 1 species
UACGUAGGUCCCGAGCGUUGUCCGGAUUUAUUGGGCGUAAAGCGAGCGCAGGUGGUUUAUUAAGUCUGGUGUAAAAGGCAGUGGCUCAACCAUCGUAUGCAUUGGAAACUGGUAGACUUGAGUGCAGGAGAGGAGAGUGGAAUUCCAUGUGUAGCGGUGAAAUGCGUAGAUAUAUGGAGGAACACCGGUGGCGAAAGCGGCUCUCUGGCCUGUAACUGACGUUGAGGCUCGAAAGCGUGGGGAGCAAACAGG